AGCGAACGCUGGCGGCAGGCUUAACACAUGCAAGUCGAGCGGGCACCUUCGGGUGUCAGCGGCAGACGGGUGAGUAACACGUGGGAACGUACCCUUCGGUUCGGAAUAACGCUGGGAAACUAGCGCUAAUACCGGAUACGCCCUUAUGGGGAAAGGUUUACUGCCGAAGGAUCGGCCCGCGUCUGAUUAGCUAGUUGGUGGGGUAACGGCCUACCAAGGCGACGAUCAGUAGCUGGUCUGAGAGGAUGAUCAGCCACACUGGGACUGAGACACGGCCCAGACUCCUACGGGAGGCAGCAGUGGGGAAUAUUGGACAAUGGGCGCAAGCCUGAUCCAGCCAUGCCGCGUGAGUGAUAAAGGCCUUAGGGUUGUAAAGCUCUUUUGUCCGGGACGAUAAUGACGGUACCGGAAGAAUAAGCCCCGGCUAACUUCGUG
rnacentral:rRNA from 1 species